GAAAAUCAUGGCUUCGGUUAGGAAAAAGACAGGCUUGUGGGAGAUAAAAAAGUACAAAGGUCCACAUACAUGUUGUAAAGCUCAAAAUCUGCCCGGGCCCAACACAUUCAAAACAGUCCAAUUACAAAAUAAAACCCAAAAUGUUAACAGUUCACUUACAAACCAAAAAAAACCAGACCCAAAAUUAAAUAAACCCAACUGGCCCAAAAGAAAAAAAAACUAACUCACAACAAAAACUUUCAGCAGCAAAGGAUGAGAGAACCCUAGCAGCAUGCACGCCUUCAGUAGUGCACGCCGCUCUAGCUCCUCGUCGCCUCUGCCUAUGUGUGUCGUUCCAUCUCCUCGCACGCCAUCGUCACGCAUCUAACACCUGCAGAGAGCAAUAAACAC
rnacentral:lncRNA from 1 species